CGCCCGGCGCGCAGGUAAGGCCUGCCGCGCUGCCGAGCCUUCUCGCCCCCCGUCCUCGGGAUCCGUCGCCGCGCGGGCGCCCCCUCCGGGCUGUGUCAGCGCCGCGGCUCCCCCGGCCGCCCGGGGGCGGUCCCGGGGGGCGGGACGACAGUUCUCCCAUCCCCCCCAUCCCCCGGCACCUCAGGGCGCCGCUUCUGCCUCGGGGUCCCGGGGCCAGCCUCCGCGGGCCGGGCGUGGGAGCUGCGCCUGAGCCCCGCCUCGCGGGCCGAUUACACAAUCGCGGGGAUGAGGCGGGGGCCCCCUCCGCAGCCCCGGCCCGCACCUGUCCCCGCGGCGCGCCCCCCGGCAGACGCCGGCGCCCCAGCGCGACCGCGGGGGCCGGCAAAGUUUCACUUUGUGGUGGGGUUUGUUGACGGCCGCGCGAUGCGGGAGGCGGAGGCUGAGGCGCGAGGAUGCGCCGGGCGAGCGCGGCUGCCCGCGCCCCGGGUGGCUGUGCUCCAGGUCUCCCCUCCAGGAGUCCAGCCGGGAGCCCUGCCCCGGGAACGGCGGCUGCUGCAGCAGCAGUCUGGGGACAGCUCGGCCUCUCGCCCUCGCCCUCUCUCUGACAUUUAGACCAGGUGUUCACGAACAAAAUGCACAAAAUCCCGACUGACCGGAAUAACUCAUGAAGAAGGGGCUGGAUCCGUGGGUCAGAGAACACAGGACCAGUGUGCCACCCCAAGGCCGAAGGAUGGACACAGGAGAACGGAGAGACCAGUGUGAUAAGCACUCUCCCUGUUCGCAGAUGCCAGCACCGAGCAAGAGCCAUCCCCAUCAGCCCCCGAGCAGUGCAUCCAGGACCCGCUGGACAGAGGAUGCUGCCGUGGGGUCUUUGUCGCUCUGCCACCAUAAAAGCUGGAACCAGGGCCAGAGAAGCCGACGAAGCAGCAGGAAUCCUGAAGCUUUCAGAGGAGCCCUGAGGAACUGGCUAUGGAAUGCCGACCAGUGUUGCCAACAGAGCCCUGAAAGGAGAGCUUCCCUCCCCCGUUGGAGUCCAUCAUACCUGCUGGGACUCCAGCCAGCCCACAGCCACCCUUAA
rnacentral:lncRNA from 1 species